rnacentral:rRNA from 1 species
GUAAGGAAUAUUGGUCAAUGGAGGCAACUCUGAACCAGCCAUGCCGCGUGCAGGAAGACGGCCCUCUGGGUUGUAAACUGCUUUUAUCUAGGAAUAAACCUACUUACGUGUAAGUAGCUGAAUGUACUAGAAGAAUAAGGAUCGGCUAACUCCGUGCCAGCAGCCGCGGUAAUACGGAGGAUCCAAGCGUUAUCCGGAUUUAUUGGGUUUAAAGGGUGCGUAGGCGGCCUAUUAAGUCAGGGGUGAAAGACGGUAGCUCAACUAUCGCAGUGCCCUUGAUACUGAUGGGCUUGAAUGAACUAGAGGUAGGCGGAAUGUGACAAGUAGCGGUGAAAUGUUUAGAUAUGUCACAGAACACCGAUUGCGAAGGCAGCUUACUAUGGUUUUAUUGACGCUGAGGCACGAAAGCGUGGGGAUCAAACAGGAUUAGAAACCCCUGUAGUCC